GGGUUGUGAGGUUAAGCGACUAAGCGUACACGGUGGAUGCCCUGGCAGUCAGAGGCGAUGAAGGGCGUGCUAAUCUGCGAUAAGCGCCGGUAAGGUGAUAUGAACCGUUAUAACCGGCGAUACCCGAAUGGGGAAACCCAGUGUGACUCGUCACACUAUCAUUAACUGAAUCCAUAGGUUAAUGAGGCGAACCGGGGGAACUGAAACAUCUAAGUACCCCGAGGAAAAGAAAUCAACCGAGAUUCCCCCAGUAGCGGCGAGCGAACGGGGAGGAGCCCAGAGCCUGAAUCAGCAUGUGUGUUAGUGGAAGCGUCUGGAAAGGCGCGCGAUACAGGGUGACAGCCCCGUACACAAAAGCGCAUGUGCUGUGAGCUCGAUGAGUAGGGCGGGACACGUGGUAUCCUGUCUGAAUAUGGGGGGACCAUCCUCCAAGGCUAAAUACUCCUGACUGACCGAUAGUGAACCAGUACCGUGAGGGAAAGGCGAAAAGAACCCCGGCGAGGGGAGUGAAAAAGAACCUGAAACCGUGUACGUACAAGCAGUGGGAGCACAGGUUUACCUGUGUGACUGCGUACCUUUUGUAUAAUGGGUCAGCGACUUAUAUUCUGUAGCAAGGUUAACCGUAUAGGGGAGCCGUAGGGAAACCGAGUCUUAACCGGGCGUUAAGUUGCAGGGUAUAGACCCGAAACCCGGUGAUCUAGCCAUGGGCAGGUUGAAGGUUGGGUAACACUAACUGGAGGACCGAACCGACUAAUGUUGAAAAAUUAGCGGAUGACCUGUGGCUGGGGGUGAAAGGCCAAUCAAACCGGGAGAUAGCUGGUUCUCCCCGAAAGCUAUUUAGGUAGCGCCUCGUGAAUUCAUCUCCGGGGGUAGAGCACUGUUUCGGCUAGGGGGCCAUCCCGGCUUACCAACCCGAUGCAAACUGCGAAUACCGGAGAAUGUUAUCACGGGAGACACACGGCGGGUGCUAACGUCCGUCGUGAAGAGGGAAACAACCCAGACCGCCAGCUAAGGUCCCAAAGUCAUGGUUAAGUGGGAAACGAUGUGGGAAGGCCCAGACAGCCAGGAUGUUGGCUUAGAAGCAGCCAUCAUUUAAAGAAAGCGUAAUAGCUCACUGGUCGAGUCGGCCUGCGCGGAAGAUGUAACGGGGCUAAACCAUGCACCGAAGCUGCGGCAGCGACGCUUAUGCGUUGUUGGGUAGGGGAGCGUUCUGUAAGCCUGUGAAGGUGUGUCGUGAGGCAUGCUGGAGGUAUCAGAAGUGCGAAUGCUGACAUAAGUAACGAUAAAGCGGGUGAAAAGCCCGCUCGCCGGAAGACCAAGGGUUCCUGUCCAACGUUAAUCGGGGCAGGGUGAGUCGACCCCUAAGGCGAGGCCGAAAGGCGUAGUCGAUGGGAAACGGGUUAAUAUUCCCGUACUUGGUGUUACUGCGAAGGGGGGACGGAGAAGGCUAUGUUGGCCGGGCGACGGUUGUCCCGGUUUAAGCGUGUAGGUGUGUGUUCCAGGUAAAUCCGGUUCACUUUAACACUGAGGCGUGAUGACGAGGCACUACGGUGCUGAAGCAACAAAUGCCCUGCUUCCAGGAAAAGCCUCUAAGCAUCAGGUAACAUCAAAUCGUACCCCAAACCGACACAGGUGGUCAGGUAGAGAAUACCAAGGCGCUUGAGAGAACUCGGGUGAAGGAACUAGGCAAAAUGGUGCCGUAACUUCGGGAGAAGGCACGCUGAUAUGUAGGUGAAGUGAUUUACUCAUGGAGCUGAAAUCAGUCGAAGAUACCAGCUGGCUGCAACUGUUUAUUAAAAACACAGCACUGUGCAAACACGAAAGUGGACGUAUACGGUGUGACGCCUGCCCGGUGCCGGAAGGUUAAUUGAUGGGGUCAGCGCAAGCGAAGCUCCUGAUCGAAGCCCCGGUAAACGGCGGCCGUAACUAUAACGGUCCUAAGGUAGCGAAAUUCCUUGUCGGGUAAGUUCCGACCUGCACGAAUGGCGUAAUGAUGGCCAGGCUGUCUCCACCCGAGACUCAGUGAAAUUGAACUCGCUGUGAAGAUGCAGUGUACCCGCGGCAAGACGGAAAGACCCCGUGAACCUUUACUAUAGCUUGACACUGAACAUUGAGCCUUGAUGUGUAGGAUAGGUGGGAGGCUUUGAAGCGUGGACGCCAGUCUGCGUGGAGCCGACCUUGAAAUACCACCCUUUAAUGUUUGAUGUUCUAACGUGGACCCGUAAUCCGGGUUGCGGACAGUGUCUGGUGGGUAGUUUGACUGGGGCGGUCUCCUCCUAAAGAGUAACGGAGGAGCACGAAGGUUGGCUAAUCCUGGUCGGACAUCAGGAGGUUAGUGCAAUGGCAUAAGCCAGCUUGACUGCGAGCGUGACGGCGCGAGCAGGUGCGAAAGCAGGUCAUAGUGAUCCGGUGGUUCUGAAUGGAAGGGCCAUCGCUCAACGGAUAAAAGGUACUCCGGGGAUAACAGGCUGAUACCGCCCAAGAGUUCAUAUCGACGGCGGUGUUUGGCACCUCGAUGUCGGCUCAUCACAUCCUGGGGCUGAAGUAGGUCCCAAGGGUAUGGCUGUUCGCCAUUUAAAGUGGUACGCGAGCUGGGUUUAGAACGUCGUGAGACAGUUCGGUCCCUAUCUGCCGUGGGCGCUGGAGAACUGAGGGGGGCUGCUCCUAGUACGAGAGGACCGGAGUGGACGCAUCACUGGUGUUCGGGUUGUCAUGCCAAUGGCACUGCCCGGUAGCUAAAUGCGGAAGAGAUAAGUGCUGAAAGCAUCUAAGCACGAAACUUGCCCCGAGAUGAGUUCUCCCUGAGACUUAGAGUCUCCUGAAGGAACGUUGAAGACGACGACGUUGAUAGGCCGGGUGUGUAAGCACAGCGAUGCGUUGAGCUAACCGGUACUAAUGAACCGUGAGGCUUAACCUUACAACGCCGAAG
rnacentral:rRNA from 1 species